GACAGAGGUGCCGAGCGUUAGGCGGAAUCACUGGGCUUAAAGCGUGUGUAGGCGGACCGUUAAGUACCUUGUGAAAUCCCCCGGCUCAACCGGGGAACGGCUGGGUAUACUGGCGGUCUUGAGCCAUCCAGGGGCAGUCGGAACAGACGGUGGAGCGGUGAAAUGCGUAGAUAUCGUCUGGAACGCCGAAGGUGAAAACAGACUGCUGGGGAUGAGCUGACGCUGAGACACGAAAGCCAGGGGA
rnacentral:rRNA from 1 species